GAUGAAGAACGUAGCGAAAUGCGAUAAGUAAUGUGAAUUGCAGAAUUCAGUGAAUCAUCGAAUCUUUGAACGCACAUUGCGCCCGCCAGUAUUCUGGCGGGCAUGCCUGUCUGAGCGUCAUUUCAACCCUCAUGCCCCUAGGGCGUGGUGUUGGGGAUCGGCCAAAGCCCGCGAGGGACGGCCGGCCCCUAAAUCUAGUGGCGGACCCGUCGUGGCCUCCUCUGCGAAGUAGCGAUAUUCCGCAUCGGAGAGCGAUGAGCCCCUGCCGUUAAACCCCCAACUUUCCAAGGUUGACCUCAGAUCAGGUAGGAAUACCCACUGAACUUAAGCAUAUCAAUAAGCGGAGGA
rnacentral:misc_RNA from 1 species